CACGUAGGGUGCGAGCGUUGUCCGGAAUUAUUGGGCGUAAAGAGCUCGUAGGCGGUGUGUCGCGUCGGCCGUGGAAACCUGCAGCUUAACUGUGGGCUUGCGGUCGAUACGGGCAUCACUGGAGUUCGGCAGGGGAGACUGGAAUUCCUGGUGUAGCGGUGAAAUGCGCAGAUAUCAGGAAGAACACCCGUGGCGCAAGCGGCCACCUGGCCAAGAGCUGACGCUGAGGCACGAGAGCGUGGGGAGCGAACCGG
rnacentral:rRNA from 1 species